rnacentral:rRNA from 1 species
UUGAACGCUGGCGGCAGGCCUAACACAUGCAAGUCGAGCUGAUGAAGGGAGCUUGCUCCUGGAUUCAGCGGCGGACGGGUGAGUAAUGCCUAGGAAUCUGCCUGGUAGUGGGGGAUAACGUCCGGAAACGGGCGCUAAUACCGCAUACGUCCUGAGGGAGAAAGUGGGGGAUCUUCGGACCUCACGCUAUCAGAUGAGCCUAGGUCGGAUUAGCUAGUUGGUGGGGUAAAGGCCUACCAAGGCGACGAUCCGUAACUGGUCUGAGAGGAUGAUCAGUCACACUGGAACUGAGACACGGUCCAGACUCCUACGGGAGGCAGCAGUGGGGAAUAUUGGACAAUGGGCGAAAGCCUGAUCCAGCCAUGCCGCGUGUGUGAAGAAGGUCUUCGGAUUGUAAAGCACUUUAAGUUGGGAGGAAGGGCAGUAAGUUAAUACCUUGCUGUUUUGACGUUACCAACAGAAUAAGCACCGGCUAACUUCGUG